UUAAGAUURUAAUUUAAAGUWUAAUUUGUUCCAUGAUUUUAUUAAAUAGCUGCAGAAUUUUAACUGUACAAAGGUAGCAUAAUCAAUAGUUUUUUAAUUGAAAGCUGGUAUGAAUGAUUUGAUAAGAUAAUUAUUGUCUCAAAUUUAAUAAAGUUAGAAUUUUUUUUUUAGUUAAAAUACUAAAAAUAAUUUAAAAGACGAGAAGACCCUAUAGAUUUUUAUAAUUUAUUAAUUAGUAAAUUUUAAUUAAAUAAAGUAUAUUAAAAUUUAAAUUAUUUGGUUGGGGUAAUUAUUAAAUUAAUAAAAUUUUAAUUAUUUUUAAACAAAAAUUAUUGAAUUUUUGAUCUUAAUAUAUAUAUAAAUUAUUAGAAUAAAAUACCUUAGGGAUAACAGCGUAAUUUUUUUAGAGAGAUCCUAUUAAUAAAAAAGUUUGCGACCUCGAUGUUGAAUUAAGAUAAAAUUUUAAUGUAGAAGU
rnacentral:rRNA from 1 species